UUAAUAAAUACUGAGCCAGGAAAUACACUGAACUAAAAUAUAAACGCAACAUGCAACAAUUUCAAAGAUUUUACUGAGUUACAGUUCAUAUAAGGAAAUCAGUCAAAUGAAAUUAAUUAAUUAAUUAGGCCCUAAUCUAUGGAUUUCACAUGACUGGGAAUCCAGAUAUGCAUCUGUUGGUCACAGAUACCUUCAAAAAAGUAUAGGGGCGUGGAUCAGGAAACCAGUCAGUAUCUGGUGUGACCAACAUUUGCCUCAUGCAGCCCGACACAUCUCAUUCACAACGUUGACAUCAGCAUUACGUUUGCCCACACGAAGCCAUAUGCGCUUUCUGACAUCUGCCCGGCACAGUUGAAUCGAAUUAUUUGUGAAGAGCACACUUUUUCAUUGUGCCGGUGGCCAUCGAAGGUGAGCAUUUGCCCACUGAAGUGAGUGACGACGCCGAACUGCAGUCAGGUCAAGACCCUGGUGAGAAUGACGAGCACGCGUCCCUGAGGUUUCUGACAGUUUGUGCAGAAAUUAUUUGGUUGUGCAAACCCACAGUUUCAUCAGCUGUCUGGGUGGCUGGUCUCAGACGAUCCCGCAGGUGAAGAAGCCAGUGGAGGUCCUGGGCUGUGAAGAAGCCAGUGGAGGUCCUGGGCUGUGAAGAAGCCAGUGGAGGUCCUGGGCUGUGAAGAAGCCAGUGGAGGUCCUGGGCUGUGAAGAAGCCAGUGGAGGUCCUGGGCUGUGAAGAAGCCAGUGGAGGUCCUGGGCUGUGAAGAAGCCAGUGGAGGUCCUGGGCUGUGAAGAAGCCAGUGGAGGUCCUGGGCUGUGAAGAAGCCAGUGGAGGUCCUGGGCUGUGAAGAAGCCAGUGGAGGUCCUGGGCUGUGAAGAAGCCAGUGGAGGUCCUGGGCUGUGAAGAAGCCAGUGGAGGUCCUGGGCUGUGAAGAAGCCAGUGGAGGUCCUGGGCUGUGAAGAAGCCAGUGGAGGUCCUGGGCUGUGAAGAAGCCAGUGGAGGUCCUGGGCUGUGAAGAAGCCAGUGGAGGUCCUGGGCUGUGAAGAAGCCAGUGGAGGUCCUGGGCUGUGAAGAAGCCAGUGGUGGUCCUGGGCUGUGAAGAAGCCAGUGGAGAUCCACGCCAGGCCAUGUGGAGGUCCUGGGCUGGCGUGGUUACACGUGGUCUGCGGUUGUGAGGCCGGUUCGAUGUACUGCCAAAUUGUUUUAAAAACGACUAUGGAGGCAGCUUAUGGUAGAGAAAUUAACAUUAAAUUAUCUAGCGACAUCUCUGGUGGACAUUCUUGCCAUCAACAUGCCAACUACAUGUGUUGUGUGACAAAACGGCACAUUUUUGAGUGGCCUUUUAUUGCCCCCAGCACAUGGUGCACCUGUGUAAUGAUCAUGUUGUUAAAUCAUUUUCUUGAUAUGUCGCACCUGUCAAGUGGAUGGAUUAUCUUGGCAAAUGAGAAAUGCUCACUAACAGGGAUGUAAACCCAUUUUUGCACAACAUUUGAGAGAAAUAAGCUUUUUGUGCUGAUGGAAAAUAUCUCGGAUCUCAGCUCAUGAAAUAUGGGACCAACACUUUACAUGUUGUGUUUUUGUUCAGUGUAGUUAAUCACAUAGA